GUCAUUUCACUUUUCGAUCGUCGCCAUUUUGUAAGCGCACUGCCUAAGAGUGUCUCAUGGACUUCAGCUGGAAUAAAUGUGUAUUACUCGGGAGGAACUGUAAAUAACCAGCCAGACAGCCCGCCCGUCGAGCUGCCCACCCGGCCGAGCUGUAUUUGGUGUAUGCCAACAUGUCGACAUGAUGUAAUUUCCAGCCUGGUUGCUGUAGCCACAGGGGAAUUUUCAAGGACAAGAACCAGUGCUGGUAAAAAUGUGGUUUCAUGUGAUUUUUACAUACCGGCUCUCAGCAAGGAUUUCAGAGAAAGGAAUACCGUCUCCAAAUCAUGAUGUGCUAAUAAACUCCAGUUAGCUGCGCCUAUUUCCUCCCGGCAGUAGUCCUGCAAUCUGAAUCCAGGAGAUGCAGCUCUGAAUCCAAUAUUUCAGAAGAAUGAAGAUAAAACUGAAGCCUUCAGGAACUCAACGCCACCAUGGUAUUGAUUUACUCAGCUCUGAGUACUCAGCUGUGAUGUAACAUGCCUUCAAAUCACUAUCCGAAGAACAUUCAGACGUUCUAAAUGGACCAUUGCCCUGUUGUCAUGGAAAUCAUUAUGAGGAGGAGCACACAAACUGUCACUUGUUUUGAAUACGAGAACUGACCAUAAACUUUUCGGAUGUUCUGUUUAUUUCACCAGCCAAUUUCGAUGUAUAUUUUACUGAAUCUUUAUUAACGAUGCUCAGCUCUUACUCAUAAGCAUCUCUACGCAUUCGUAUUCCACAACUAAACAUGCUUGCAAUUACACUGUGCCAUCUAUAAUAAUAUAGCAAUGCUGCAAUGUCCACAUUUUUUUGUACUAGUUGUUGCUUUAUACUGAAACUUUUAUUGAAAAUGGUGCAUAAAGACUGAUAACACAUAAAUGUUUCAUUUAUACAUUUGUACAUGUAUGAAUGAAUCAUUUAUGUGUUAUUAGUGUUUAUGCACCAGUUCUUUCAGUGUAUAUGUUGAUAAUGUUCAUACAUAUUUCAUGUGCAUUUACACAUGUGUUUAUUGCCAACCUCAUCAAAACAUGCAUAGUUUGCUAACAUACAUAUUUCCAACACAGACAUUUACUGAAUGUAUUACUACUUUACGUUGAUUUUGAUAUGUAAAUAAAACAUUGUACUACUCGUUUGUACAAAACACUUUUCAUUUGCUAUGUUGUUUGUUUCCAUGUUCUGUCUGCAUGCAGAUGGUAUUUUCAUAAAUAUUAUCAAUUUUUAGCUAAACUAUUCGAAGAAUAUGGAGAGCUAUACUACUCACCCAAGCGUCGGCGUCAGCGUCACACCUUGGUUAAGGUUUUGCUUGCAAGCACACAUACGUUAAUAUCACAGUUACUUCUUGAAGUAUCGCAUUUAGACUUAAUACAAUGGUACUCAACCAUCCAACCUACUUAAUUAACCAAGUAAGAUAACUCUACUUUGCAUUUAAAGCAAAUUAUAGGCUUUUAUUAUUUGACUUAGAAAUUCUGGUUAAGGUUUUGCGUGCAAGCACACAUAGGUAAAUAUCUCAUUAAGUACUUGAGGUAUUGGAUAGCGACUUGAAACAAUGGUACUCAACAAUCCAACCUACUGAAUUGACCAAGUUAGAUAACUCUAGUUUGCAUUUAAUCCAAAAAUUAGGACUUUAUUAUUCGACUUAGAAAUUCUGGUUAAGGUUUUGCGUGCAAGCACACAUAGGUUAAUAUCUCAGCCGCUACUUGAGGUAUUGCAUUGAGACUUGAUACAAUGGUGCUCAACCAUCCAACCUAUAAAUUAACCAAGUAAGGUUACUUGACUUUGCAUUUAAUGCAAAUGAUAGGCCUUUAUUAUUCGACUUAGAUGUUCUGAUUAAGGUUUUGUGUGCAAGCACACAUUAUAUAAAUAUCAAAGCAUCUACUUCAUGUAUUGCAUUGAGACUCAUACAAUUGUACUCAACCAUCAAACUUCCCCAUGUACGAUAGCUCUAGUUUCAUUUAAUGCAAAUAAUUGCCCUUUAUUAUUCGACAUAGAAAUUUUGGUUAAGGUUUUGCGUGUAAGCACACAUAGGUAAAUUUCUCAGCAACUACUCGAUGUAUUGCAUUGAGACUUUAUAGAAUGGUAUUCAACCACUCAAAGUAAUUGAAUAACCAAGAUAUAUAACAGCAUUUUGCAAAUAAUUUCCCUUUAUCAUUAGACUUAAACAUUCUGGUUGAAAUUUUCCAUGUAAUCACAUUUAUGUUAAUAUCUCACCACAUGAAUUGCAUUGAAAUCUUAUCUAACAGUGAUCCAUGCAUGUUUCGCCAAAACAUUUCGAUCCUUACACUGAAAAGCGGCGGAAUAGUCGAGCCCGCUAUUUCUGUGACAGCUCUUGUUCAACAUUAACGUGAUGUUCAUUUCAUUUGUGAAACUUAUCCCUUGGGAACAAUAUCAACAUCUUUUAGCAUACAUGCCUGGAUGAGUUUUAAAAAAUGACCAUAUCAUGCAUACUUACUGCAUGAAAUAUACAAUGACAUACAUUUCAUAUCAACUUGUGUAUCGGUAUUUCCCUUUCAACUACUUCGAAAUAACAAACGUCCCAACCCUAAAAUAAUCAAAAAUCUUCUACAUACAUUAUUUUUAUCUUACACUGUAUAUUUUUAUGUUAUAUAUGUAUAUAUCACGCCUAAUAAAA